rnacentral:rRNA from 1 species
UACGUAGGAUGCGAGCGUUAUCCGGAGUUACUGGGUGUAAAGGGAGCGCAGGCGGGACUGCAAGUUGGAUGUGAAAUGCCGCAGCUUAACUGCGGAGCUGCAUCCAAAACUGUAGUCCUUGAGUGGAGUAGAGGCAAGCGGAAUUCCGAGUGUAGCGGUGAAAUGCGUAGAUAUUCGGAGGAACACCAGUGGCGAAGGCGGCUUGCUGGGCUCUAACUGACGCUGAGGCUCGAAAGUGUGGGGAGCAAACAGG